rnacentral:lncRNA from 1 species
AUUUAUUUUCGAUUUGAAAUCCCUUGAGGCACGUGUAGUAAUAUGAUACAGUAAUCACACAUUCAGCUGAAGACGGAUUCGCAAAAAAAGAAUCCCGAAUGGUCAACAAUAAUACAUCGCUCAAGGUGAAUAAUUAUCUAUUUUAACAUAACAACUAAUUUCAACAGUAAAAACAAAUAACAAAACAUUGUCCAAUUUGAAACAGGAGUGUACGAGUUGUCCUACGUUUCAGACUCGACAUUCACUAAACAUGCAUGCUGAAAUUGACAUGGUUGUUUUUGUUACACAAUCAUACACUUUCAAGUUGUCAUCGUAGAAAAGACUGCUGUUCAUGUGUGUAUGUUAUCAGAAAAUUUGUGUGAUUUUCAUUGCUC